AAUUAGCUUGUUGGAGGUCCUUCCGCCGCCGUUGAGAAAGUUAAGGGCUUCGAAUUAAACAAGCAACCGCUCACCUAGUCCUUCCACAUUAUUAAUGGACAUGCCGGUGCUAGCUGUCCACCCACGGCGAUCCUCCUGCAUCAGCCUCCCACGUGCUAGGAUUACAAGCCAGCCUUGAGUCUUGAUUCUUCACAGGAUUAAAUGGUCAGUAACCUCCUGGACUAUUAACUGAGCAAUGGGAUGUGUGUGAGGAUACCAUAACGGCAUUAAUUAGCUUCCAAGUAGGAGAAAAUGCAUCAAAUAAUUUAGGAUUUGUCUACCCAUAGAGUUGUUUUCUCUCUACUGCUUUUGAAGGUGCUGCCUGUGUCCCAUGCACAAUGCAGCCUAUGUGAGUUGUGCACGUUGCAUAAUAUCUUUGGAAUUCAGUGGGCAGUUGUUUGGCUCAGACUUUGGGAUUCUAUGGUCAAUGCUUAAAAUUCUGUAGUGGUAUAUCCCUGUACAGAAGUCCUUUAUCCUCAGAGAACACAUCCUGUUUUGUAAGAAACAGAGCUCUCACCUCAAAGUGGCUGAGAGAGAGUGUAUGCCGGAGCCAAACAUGAGUGGCUGUGGCCCAAGAACAAACAGAUUCAGGUGUCCCCAAAUCCCAUGUUCCAAUGUAGCAUCAGUUUUAAUUGUGAGGGAGCACAAUAAAGGAACCACCUAAAUGGCCGUUCAAGGACUAAUGGGGAAGGUUUUUAAUCGUAGAUAGAAAGAAAAUAUGCAGAGGCACAGAGAAAAAGAAGAAAAUGUCCAGAGCACAGAGGAAAAGAAGCAGACUGGGUAUGGCCAGGGCUGUCUGCAGAAGAAGGGAUAUGUGUGAGAGAUGGGGGACAGAGGAGACUGGGAAAUGUUGCUGUUUUGUAGAGUACUGGCAAGUUUGGAGGAGGAGGAACAGUCCUGGACACCCUAGGGUAGAGAAGAAAGAAAGUGAGAAGGGCCAGGACUGGAGGCCAGCAUGGGCUUUGAUAUGCAACCACGGGAGAGCUGUGUGUUUCUUCUGCCAGAGGCAAGGAAAUGACAAGUCUUCUCGGACCUAUAUUUAACCUCCAAGAACCCUGCCGUCCUGCCUGAGGCAUGCCAAGACUGAACAGAGCAAAGAGCACCAGAAACCAACAGACUUUUCAGAUACCCUGGAAGGUACCUCAGCAGGCAGAUUACAGGAAAGCAAUGGGAACAAGCUGCCGAAGACCUGGUGCCAUCAGGACAGACCCUCGGCAUUUGGGUCAGAGGCCGGGGAUCUGUUCGUACACAUCAAAGGAUUUACUGAACAGUCGCAAGGCUGUGGUCUCAUACAGGGGAGGGGAGGUUUUUGGGUAAAGGUUACCCAAAGUCACUGGGCUCUGAACCUCCAACCUCUCCACGUCACUGAACCUCAAUUAGCCUGUAUAGUCUCCAAGCCUUUCCAGGGAUUUCCCUUCAAAGUCCCAAGAUCCCCAGUAGAUGCAGGAAGAGCAGUCAUUACUAAACACUCUAGAAUCCAUGUUUUUUUUUGCUGAACUAGGUGUGGUGGGAGGGGAAGGGAAGGAAAAGACGGGAGAGAGAAUGAAUAAAAGAAGUAGACAAAAACAAACGGAUGAGACCUUGA
rnacentral:lncRNA from 1 species